rnacentral:rRNA from 1 species
GUGAGGAAUUUUGCGCAAUGGGGGGAACCCUGACGCAGCAACGCCGCGUGAGUGAAGAAGGCCCUCGGGUUGUAAAGCUCUGUCAGAGCUGAAGAAACUACUUCGGGUAAAUAGCCCGUGGUACUGACGGUAAGCUCAGAGGAAGCACCGGCUAACUCCGUGCCAGCAGCCGCGGUAAUACGGAGGGUGCAAGCGUUGUUCGGAUUUAUUGGGCGUAAAGAGCGUGUAGGCGGUUUUGCAAGUCAGGUGUGAAAUCCCGGGGCUUAACCCCGGAACUGCGCCUGAAACUGCAGGACUUGAGUACGGGAGAGGUAGGUGGAAUUCCUGGUGUAGAGGUGAAAUUCGUAGAUAUCAGGAGGAACACCCGUGGCGAAAGCGACCUACUGGACCGAUACUGACGCUGAGACGCGAAAGCGUGGGGAGCAAACAGGAUUAGAUACCCUGGUAGUCC